GAUGAACGCUGGCGGCGUGCCUAACACAUGCAAGUCGAACGGAAAGGCCCAAGCUUGCUUGGGUCCUCGAGUGGCGAACGGGUGAGCAACACGUGGGUGAUCUGCCCUGCACCUCGGGAUAAGCCUGUGAAACUUGGUCUAAUACCGGCUAGGACUACAUUUUUUAUGGUGUGGUGGAAAGUUUUUCGGUGGGGGUUGAGCUCGCGGCCUAUCAGCUUGUUGGUGGGGUAAUGGCCUACCAAGGCGACGACAGGCAGCCGGCCUGAGAGGGGGUGCGGCCACAGUAGGACUGGGAUACGGGCCGGACUCCUACGGGAGGCAACGGUGGAGAAGAGUGCACAAUGGGCGGAACCAUAAUGCAGCGAAGCAGCGUGGGGGAUGACAGCCUUCGGGUUGUAAACUACUGUCGCUAGAGACGAAGCGCAAGUGACGGUACCUGGAGAAGAAGCACCGGCUAACUACGUG
rnacentral:rRNA from 1 species